rnacentral:rRNA from 1 species
GGGACACGUGGUAUCCUGUCUGAAUAUGGGGGGACCAUCCUCCAAGGCUAAAUACUCCUGACUGACCGAUAGUGAACCAGUACCGUGAGGGAAAGGCGAAAAGAACCCCGGCGAGGGGAGUGAAAAAGAACCUGAAACCGUGUACGUACAAGCAGUGGGAGCACGCUUAGGCGUGUGACUGCGUACCUUUUGUAUAAUGGGUCAGCGACUUAUAUUCUGUAGCAAGGUUAACCGAAUAGGGGAGCCGAAGGGAAACCGAGUCUUAACUGGGCGUUAAGUUGCAGGGUAUAGACCCGAAACCCGGUGAUCUAGCCAUGGGCAGGUUGAAGGUUGGGUAACACUAACUGGAGGACCGAACCGACUAAUGUUGAAAAAUUAGCGGAUGACUUGUGGCUGGGGGUGAAAGGCCAAUCAAACCGGGAGAUAGCUGGUUCUCCCCGAAAGCUAUUUAGGUAGCGCCUCGUGAAUUCAUCUCCGGGGGUAGAGCACUGUUUCGGCAAGGGGGUCAUCCCGACUUACCAACCCGAUGCAAACUGCGAAUACCGGAGAAUGUUAUCACGGGAGACACACGGCGGGUGCUAACGUCCGUCGUGAAGAGGGAAACAACCCAGACCGCCAGCUAAGGUCCCAAAGUCAUGGUUAAGUGGGAAACGAUGUGGGAAGGCCCAGACAGCCAGGAUGUUGGCUUAGAAGCAGCCAUCAUUUAAAGAAAGCGUAAUAGCUCACUGGUCGAGUCGGCCUGCGCGGAAGAUGUAACGGGGCUAAACCAUGCACCGAAGCUGCGGCAGCGACGCUGAUGCGUUGUUGGGUAGGGGAGCGUUCUGUAAGCCUGCGAAGGUGUGCUGUGAGGCAUGCUGGAGGUAUCAGAAGUGCGAAUGCUGACAUAAGUAACGAUAAAGCGGGUGAAAAGCCCGCUCGCCGGAAGACCAAGGGUUCCUGUCCAACGUUAAUCGGGGCAGGGUGAGUCGACCCCUAAGGCGAGGCCGAAAGGCGUAGUCGAUGGGAAACAGGUUAAUAUUCCUGUACUUGGUGUUACUGCGAAGGGGGGACGGAGAAGGCUAUGUUGGCCGGGCGACGGUUGUCCCGGUUUAAGCGUGUAGGCUGGUUUUCCAGGCAAAUCCGGAAAAUCAAGGCUGAGGCGUGAUGACGAGGCACUACGGUGCUGAAGCAACAAAUGCCCUGCUUCCAGGAAAAGCCUCUAAGCAUCAGGUAACAUCAAAUCGUACCCCAAACCGACACAGGUGGUCAGGUAGAGAAUACCAAGGCGCUUGAGAGAACUCGGGUGAAGGAACUAGGCAAAAUGGUGCCGUAACUUCGGGAGAAGGCACGCUGAUAUGUAGGUGAAGUCCCUCGCGGAUGGAGCUGAAAUCAGUCGAAGAUACCAGCUGGCUGCAACUGUUUAUUAAAAACACAGCACUGUGCAAACACGAAAGUGGACGUAUACGGUGUGACGCCUGCCCGGUGCCGGAAGGUUAAUUGAUGGGGUUAGCGCAAGCGAAGCUCUUGAUCGAAGCCCCGGUAAACGGCGGCCGUAACUAUAACGGUCCUAAGGUAGCGAAAUUCCUUGUCGGGUAAGUUCCGACCUGCACGAAUGGCGUAAUGAUGGCCAGGCUGUCUCCACCCGAGACUCAGUGAAAUUGAACUCGCUGUGAAGAUGCAGUGUACCCGCGGCAAGACGGAAAGACCCCGUGAACCUUUACUAUAGCUUGACACUGAACAUUGAGCCUUGAUGUGUAGGAUAGGUGGGAGGCUUUGAAGUGUGGACGCCAGUCUGCAUGGAGCCGACCUUGAAAUACCACCCUUUAAUGUUUGAUGUUCUAACGU